rnacentral:rRNA from 1 species
UACAGGGGGUGCAAACGUUGCUCGGAAUCAUUGGGCGUAAAGCGCACGUAGGCGGUCUGUUAUGUCGGAUGUGAAAGCCCUUGGCUCAACUGAGGAAGUGCAUCCGAAACUGGCAGGCUAGAGUACUAAAGAGGAUCGCGGAAUUCCCGGUGUAGAGGUGAAAUUCGUAGAUAUCGGGAGGAACACCGGUGGCGAAGGCGGCGAUCUGGGUAGAUACUGACGCUGAGGUGCGAAAGCGUGGGUAGCAAACAGG